rnacentral:rRNA from 1 species
GACGAUAACGAACGAGACCUAUACCUACUAAAUAGUUUUACUAAUAUUUUAUUAGUAUAAACUUCUUAGAGGGACAAACUGCUCAAGCAGUGGGAAGUUAUAGGCAAUAACAGGUCUGUGAUGCCCUUUAGAUGUUCUGGGCCGCACGCGCGCUACACUGAUCAAGUCAACGAGUUUACAACCUUGGCCGGAAGGUCUGGGUAAUCUUUUGAAACUUGAUCGUGCUGGGGAUAGUCCAUUGCAAUUAUUGGACUUCAACGAGGAAUUCCUAGUAAGCGUGAGUCAUCAGCUCGCGUUGAUUACGUCCCUGCCCUUUGUACACACCGCCCGUCGCUAAUACCGAUUGAAUGGAUAU